rnacentral:rRNA from 1 species
GACAAACGCUGGCGGCGUGCCUAAUACAUGCAAGUCGAACGACCAACGCCUUCGGGCAAGUAAGAGUGGCGCACGGGCGAGGAACACGUAGAUAAUCUGCCCUUCAGUGGGGAAUAACUCUCCGAAAGGAGAGCUAAUACCGCAUAAGACCACAAGCUCUGAGGAGCAAGGGGUUAAAGGAUUUAUUCGCUGAAGGAUGAGUCUGCGUCCGAUUAGCUAGUUGGUGAGGUAAUGGCUUACCAAGGCAAUGAUCGGUAGAUGGUCUGAGAGGAUGAUCAUCCCCACUGGAACUGAGACACGGUCCAUACUCCUACGGGAGGCAGCAGUAGGGAAUAUUGCACAAUGGGGGAAACCCUGAUGCAGCAACGCCGCGUGAGUGAUGAAGGCUCUAGGGUCGUAAAGCUCUGUCGUGUGGGAAGAAACAAAUGACGGUACCACACAAGAAAGGACCGGCCAACUUCGUGCCAGCAGCCACGGUAAUACGGGGGGUCCAAGCGUUGUUCGGAAUCACUGGGCGUAAAGCGCAUGUAAGUGGCUUUUCAAGUCAACUGUGAAAGCCCCGGGCCUAACCCGGGAAGUGCAGUUGAUACUGUUGAGCUUGAGUACUAGAGAUGAUAGUGGAAUUCCAGGUGUAGUGGUGAAAUACGUAGAUAUCUGGAGGAACAUCGGUGGCGAAGGCGGCUAUCUGGUCUCGAUACUGACACUGAGAUGCGAAAGCGUGGGGAUCAAACAGGAUUAGAUACCCUGGUAGUCCACGCCGUAAACGAUGGAUACUUGUUGUUAGAGGUAUUGACCCCUUUAGUGACGAAGCUAACGCGUUAAGUAUCCCGCCUGGGGAGUACGGUCGCAAGAUUAAAACUCAAAGAAAUUGACGGGGGCCCGCACAAGCGGUGGAGCAUGUGGUUCAAUUCGAUGCAACGCGAAAAACCUUACCUAGAUUUGACAUACUGUGGAAGAUUCUGAGAAAUCAGGUCGCCUUCGGGCCGCAGUACAGGUGCUGCAUGGCUGUCGUCAGCUCGUGUCGUGAGAUGUUGGGUUAAGUCCCGCAACGAGCGCAACCCCUGUCUUUAGUUGCCAGCAUUUAGUUGGGCACUCUAAAGAGACUGCCGACGUUAAGUCGGAGGAAGGUGGGGAUGACGUCAAGUCCUCAUGGCCCUUAUAUCUAGGGCUACACACGUGCUACAAUGGUUGCUACAAAGGGCUGCAAAACAGUGAUGUUUAGCAAAUCCCAAAAAGGCAAUCUAAGUUCGGAUUGGAGUCUGCAACUCGACUCCAUGAAGCUGGAAUCGCUAGUAAUCGUGGAUCAGCACGCCACGGUGAAUACGUUCCCGGGCCUUGUACACACCGCCC